GACAGAGGCCUCAAGCGUUAGGCGGAAUCACUGGGCUUAAAGCGUGUGUAGGCCGGAUCGGUUAAGUGUCUUGUGAAAUCCCACGGCUCACCCGUGGAACGGCGUGGGCAUACUGGCGAUCGUUGGGCCAACUAGGGGCAACUGGAACAAGCGGUGGAGCGGUGAAAUGCGUAGAUAUCGCUUGGAACGCCAAAGGUGAAAACAGGUUGCUGGGGUUGUGC
rnacentral:rRNA from 1 species